UGGCGGUGGCACCACCUUCUCCGUCAGAAAGACCGCUUACUGUGAUGUCCACACGCCUCCAGGCUGCACCCGGAGGCCUCUGAAUAUUUACGGGGAUGUCGAAAUGAAAAAUGGCGUCUGUCGAAAAGAGAGCUCGGUUAAAACGGUCAGGUCCACAUCCAAGGUCAGGAAGAAGGCAAAAAAGGCUAAGAAAGCUGUGGCUGAGCCCUGCGCGGUCCUGCCGACCGUGUGCGCUCCUUAUAUUCCCCCACAGAGCUUCGAGUAGAGAGAGAAACAAACCUGGACGAGUGUUCCUGGCCGCGGUCUCUGCAGUCUGGGUUUCCCAGUCUCCAGGAGAUGCUGGUGCUUCAGGCCACCUUGCCACCAGUGGAGGAGCUCCCAGUGCGCCUGGCCUGUUGGCACCAUGG
rnacentral:sRNA from 1 species